UAUUCUGUGGCUUAGUUCGCUGAAGCACCGGUCUUGCAAAUACGGAGUCGUGGGUUCGAAUCCCAGCAGAAUGC
rfam:Aedes albopictus isolate Foshan contig31520, whole genome shotgun sequence.